rnacentral:rRNA from 1 species
UGGGGAAUAUUGCACAAUGGGCGCAAGCCUGAUGCAGCAACGCCGCGUGAGGGACGACGGCCUUCGGGUUGUAAACCUCUUUUAGUAGGGAAGAAGCGAAAGUGACGGUACCUGCAGAAAAAGCACCGGCUAACUACGUGCCAGCAGCCGCGGUAAUACGUAGGGUGCGAGCGUUGUCCGGAAUUAUUGGGCGUAAAGAGCUCGUAGGCGGUCUGUCGCGUCUGCUGUGAAAACCCCGAGGCUCAACCUCGGGCCUGCAGUGGGUACGGGCAGACUAGAGUGCGGUAGGGGAGAAUGGAAUUCCUGGUGUAGCGGUGGAAUGCGCAGAUAUCAGGAGGAACACCGAUGGCGAAGGCAGUUCUCUGGGCCGUAACUGACGCUGAGGAGCGAAAGCGUGGGGAGCGAACAGGAUUAGAUACCCUGGUAGUCCACGCCGUAAACGUUGGGCGCUAGAUGUGGGGACCAUUCCACGGUUUCCGUGUCGCAGCUAACGCAUUAAGCGCCCCGCCUGGGGAGUACGGCCGCAA